rnacentral:rRNA from 1 species
UACGUAGGGUGCGAGCGUUAAUCGGAAUUACUGGGCGUAAAGCGUGCGCAGGCGGGCUUUUAAGCCAGACGUGAAAUCCCCGGGCUUAACCUGGGAAUGGCGUUUGGGACUGGGAGUCUGGAGUGCGGCAGAGGAGACUGGAAUUCCUGGUGUAGCAGUGAAAUGCGUAGAUAUCUGGAGGAACACCGGUGGCGAAGGCGGGUCUCUGGGCCGAUACUGACGCUGAGGAGCGAAAGCGUGGGGAGCGAACAGG